UACGUGAAAUUGUUGAAGGGAAGGGCAUUUGAUCAGACAUGGUGUUUUGCGACCCUCGCUCCUUGUGGGUGGGGAUCUCGCAGCUCACUGGGCCAACAUCAGUUUUGGCGGUAGGAUAAAUCUUUGGGAACGUGGCUUGUCUUCGGAGAAGCGUUAUAGCCCAGGGGAAUACUGCCAGCCGGGACUGAGGACUGCGACUUUUGUCAAGGAUGUUGGCAUAAUGGUUAAAUGCCGCCCGUCUUGA
rnacentral:rRNA from 1 species